rnacentral:rRNA from 1 species
UACGAAGGUGGCUAGCGUUGUUCGGAAUUACUGGGCGUAAAGCGCACGUAGACGGAUUUGUUAGUCAGGGGUGAAAUCCCGGGGCUCAACCUCGGAACUGCCUUUGAUACUGCAAAUCUCGAGUCCGGAAGAGGUGAGUGGAAUUCCUAGUGUAGAGGUGAAAUUCGUAGAUAUUAGGAAGAACACCAGUGGCGAAGGCGGCUCACUGGUCCGGUACUGACGCUGAGGUGCGAAAGCGUGGGGAGCAAACAGG